UUUGACUGUAAAUCAAAAAGUUCCCGAAUUAAACUGUGUUGAAGAAGAUUCCUCGGUGUUGUGUCAUUCUUGCUGGUCAGGGGUGGACUCGACAAGUGGUGGCCCAUACGGGGAAUCAGAACUUCUCACAGUCGGGGUGGUGCCAGUAAGUUACCAAGGAUCAGCAAGACCCAGUGUGGAUUCCAGAGAGACUAACGAGGCGGUGCAACAAACAAGAUGAAGCCUCCGAUAUUGAUCCUGCUGCUGACCUUGACAACACCGUGGCUGAUCCAGGCCAGAGAACAAAUCCUGAUAGCCAACAAUUUCAUGGAGAACAGCAACCUGAGUUGGCAGCUGAGUGCCUACCUUCAGGGAAAUUGGAGUCAACAGUUCGAGAACCUGACAGACACCAUAACACAACAGAUUGUUGCCGUGAAUGCUACACACCUGAGCCUGCCCACUGUUAAUACCCUCUUAACUACCCUUAAGCAAGCCUUUAGUUUAGUUAAGGAAUGGGCUGGGGUAGGGGUUAUGCUUUCCAUGAUGCUGUUAGCCAUUUUUGUUUGCCUGUGGUGCCUAUGCAGGAUCAGGAAGUCACAAAAAUCCCAAGCUGCCAUGUUGGUACAGGCCUUUGCUGCUGUGGAAGAAGGACAAUCCUCUCAAGCAUGGUUAUCCAUGCUGACAGACAAAUAGAUGUCUGUCUCGCCCUUACUGAGUGAGUGAUGCGUAUCUGAAUCAGUCAUGCUCAAUGACGGGCACCUACCCUCUUGCUGAGCGAAUAAGCAUACAUGUGUUCCCUUCAGCCUAAGACAUGAGCCUGUGAGGGCGACACAGUGACUCUUUGACAGAUAAGAUAGGGACACUGGGGUUGAACCUAAGACAGAGAUGACUGAAAUCUGACAACAGAUAUAAUAUUUAUAACAAAAAGGGGGAACUGUUGGGAGCUGCAAAGUACCGUGCCCAAAAGAUGGCGCCAGUUUCUGCCUUCUGCCAGCCCGACGGCGAGUGCUCUCUGUGGUAGACAACUCCUAAUUUGGUAAAGGUUAUGUAACCUCUUAAUUCUGCUUGGAGACAACCAAUCCUGGCGCACCACAGAGGGUUAGGUGAUUGGUAGAUGUAGACUAUAUCAGACCCCAUCUUCCUCUACCCAGGGCCGCCAUUUGACUGUAAAUCAAAAAGUUCCCGAAUUAAACUAUGUUGAAGAAGA
rnacentral:lncRNA from 1 species